GACGAACGCUGGCGGCGUGCUUAACACAUGCAAGUCGAACGAAGUGGCGAACGGGUGAGUAACGCGUAAUCAACCGGCCCUUCAGAGGGGGACAACAGUUGGAAAAGACUGCUAAUACCGCAUACUGAAGGGGGGGAAUGUGUCGGAAUAGCUAGUUGGAGGGGUACGGGCCCACCAAGGCGAACAUCAGUAGCCGGUCUGAGGGGAUGAACGGCCACAUUUGGACUUGGACACGGCCCAGACUCCUACGGGAGGCAGCAGUGGGGAAUCUUCCGCAAUGGACGAAAGUCUGACGGAGCAACGCCGCGUGAGUGAUGACGGCCUUCGGGUUGUAAAGCUCUGUUAAUCGGGACGCGGUACCUGAAUAGAAAGCCACGGCUAACUACGUGCCAGCAGCCGCGGUAAUAC
rnacentral:rRNA from 1 species